rnacentral:ncRNA from 1 species
ACUUUAUUUUUAUGUCAUUUUGCCAAUUUGAUGAAUAAUUGGUAUUUGGGCCUGCCUGAACAGGCAAUGGCCCGAAGCUAUCAUCCGUUGGAUUAUGGCUGAACGCCUCUAAGUCAGAAUCCGUGCUAGAACGCGACGAUUACCGCCUCAUCCGGUACUUAGUUGAAUACGAAUAAAGCUUCGGCUCCUGAAUCAUGCUACGCGGGGUAAUCUUGUGGAGCGGAAAGGCUUCAUGAGGUUCCUGCUAAUGUUAAUUUCAAAUAUUGGAAGAGAUAAAUCCAUUGCAGACGACUUUUAAGCAAUGGUGUACUGUAAGCUGUAGAGUAGCCUUGUUGCUACGAUUAGCUGAGGUUAAGCACUUUUGUUGCACAGAUUU